ensembl:lncRNA
AAGCCACUCCUUCUUCAAGACCACCGCUGAGUGGUCGCUGCCCGCAGAAGGGAGGCUGCAGAUGUUGGGUUCAUAUCCUGCACAAGAUCAAUCCGACACUGAGGAGUCUGCAGAGCGGCAGCUUGUGUUUUGUAGCGGAUUUACUAAUCUGACGUGAAACCAUCAAGUCAAAGGAAGAACAGAUGUUGUGGAACAGAAGAACAAGGUUCAGAGCCUGAAAACAAGGGAACAAAUUCCAGGCGAGGAGAUAAAAUUGCCUCCUUCCUUCCAACUCUCCAACGACCGACUAUGCAGCCGGUCACCCGGAAAAACUGCAGCGUGGGAGGACGAGAGGCCGCUCCGCUCUUCAGAUGAGCCACAGAACAAACCCUCGACCUUUUCAGCACUAUGAUACAGAGGCCCCACUUUGCAGUAUUGUUUGUCUUUGCUCCGCUUCAUGCUGCCAAACAGACGGCAGAGGGCUGAAUAGAGGACAGCGGCGCUUACACAAAUCCAUCUCACAGUCAAAUGGAAAGAUCCAUGCAUGAGGAUUUGUGCUGCAGCACAGUCAGCGGGGACAGUCGAGGUUUUCCGCUUAUGUGUCGUCGAACCCUUUACAGUGUGCAAGUGUGUCUACUUAGUGACCACUAGCAGUUUUUGAACAUAUAACUUGCUGACCAAACGACUUGCUGUUUUAUUGCAGUGAACUCAGUCAAUGUUUAAAAUGUGAUGUGGUAUUUAUGGAACAGAUGCGUACAGAAAAAAGUUAAGCUUUAAUUAUGCCUGUGAAUCAAAUGAUAAUUUAAUCACAAAACCUUUAAAAAUCUGCAUGUGAAACAAUGUCAUAUAAUUGUUCGGGCAACGAUCAAAUAUAUGCUGAUAUCACAAAACAAUACAGUAAUAACUACAACUGUGAUGAUAUGAGACAAUAUCAUAUUCCCAUUUAACACAAAAAAUACAUUUACGUUGAACUCGCAAAAAACAGUGUCAUUUGACCAUUUCACUUCUGGAAGAGAGAGUUGCGCUUGGACGGAAAUGAUAAAUAGGUAUUGCCAUGGGGAUUUCAAAAUAAAAGCAUUUUUAAAACCUGAUAUAAAUCAAGGUCGCUUCCUUUGCACUCAUAGUGAAUUGUUGCUCACCGAAUCAACACACUGAUCCAGAUAAAAUGAUUGUUACAUUAUGCAAUGACCCCAACCGUAGCUCCACCCGCCCUGAGGGACAUCUAGGAAGAUUAUUCAUGGUGGUCUCAGACAUGCAGGACUGAACACUUCGACUUCCGGCGUUGCAGAAUUUAAUCUAUGGUUAUUUGGGUUGGCUUCUUUGCUAAACGUCAGAAGCAGCAAUAAAAUAGAAACUUGAAUCCAGAAGAUAAAUAUGUCAUGAAGCAACACGUACACACUACAGCGGCAGCAAAUUGACGUAGUUGACGCAAAAACGUGAAGCUGACCUCAAUACGCACCGGAAGUAAGUGUACAGCAGGCAUUUUGAGGCGUUUAAAUAACCCUCCUUGGGCCAUGUGCGUCUGGUCGGCUGGUUAUAUGAGGUUAUGAAGAGCGGGUCACGUGAUCCAGCGUCACAGGCUCGUUUUCGUAUUCUGCACACCUUGUGACUCAAGUACUGGAGAAUUCUUUUAUAAUUAUUUUACCCGUAAUCAUUACAUUCCCAAAAAAAUACUCAGAAAAUGCUCGGCUGAGAAAGUCACUAUGUUGCUAAUAGUUUAAUUUACUCAAAUAAUGUUUACCUCAUGAAUAGAUUCUAAAUGAUCACCGUAAAAUUAUGCUGACACAAUGUAAAGUGGCUAUUCUGCUCAAGUACCUUUAUUUUAAUACGUGUAGUAUAUUCUGCUUCAAGGGAAGUUCUAAAUGUUAAACUGUUUCUACACAGUUUUGCUGAAACCAUCUGGCGGGGUUUAACCAGUUUGAUCAUCCUUAGAACUGG